AAGAAGGCUGCCCUAGCAAGAUUGAGUGCUGUAAACAGGAGCCUUAAGGUUGCAAAGUCUGGGGUUAAGAAGAGGAACAGGCAAGCCUUGAAAUCAAGUGGCAGGAAGUGAGAUCUUAGAGAAUUGAAAAAUGAGAUGUUGAGUUUGCCAUUGUGUUUUAUGUUGAAAUGUCAACUUUUUAGUUCAGUUUGGAAUCUGAAGAGUAGUCUGGCGAUAGAUGUUUUGCAUUAUUAUAUGAUUAUUUUCUUGCUGUGGUGAACUUUUGG
rnacentral:misc_RNA from 1 species